rnacentral:rRNA from 1 species
AUACGGAGGGUGCAAGCGUUACUCGGAAUCACUGGGCGUAAAGCGCGCGCAGGCGGCUAUUUAAGUUGGAUGUGAAAGCCUACGGCUCAACCGUAGAACUGCAUCCAAAACUAUUUAGCUAGAGUGUGGGAGAGGAAGAUGGAAUUAGUUGUGUAGGGGUAAAACCCGUAGAGAUAACUAGGAAUACCAAAAGCGAAGGCAAUCUUCUGGAACACUACUGACGCUGAGGCGCGAAAGCGUGGGGAGCAAACGGGAUUAGAUACCCUUGUAGUCC